UCGUCGCCCGUUUGCCGCCCGCAGUAGGGGCCAUUUGGCCCCCAAGGGCACGUGUCGUUGGCUAAGCCGUCGUGGCGGAAGGGUCACGGUGGCCGCCUUGAAUUACAAUUCCGAUCGAGCGGCGAGCUGAAUCCUUUGCAGACGACUUAAAUACGCGACGGGGUAUUGUAAGGGGUAGAGUGGCCUUGCUGGCCACGAUCCUCUGAGAUUCAGCCCUUUGUCGCUCCGAUUCGU
rnacentral:ncRNA from 1 species